rnacentral:rRNA from 1 species
UACGGGGGAGGCAAGCGUUGUUCGGAUUUACUGGGCGUAAAGGGCGCGUAGGCGGUCAGCACAAGUCAGUUGUGAAAUCUCCGGGCUUAACUCGGAAAGGUCAACUGAUACUGUGCGACUAGAGUGCAGAAGGGACAACUGGAAUUCUCGGUGUAGCGGUGAAAUGCGUAGAUAUCGAGAGGAACACCUGCGGCGAAGGCGGGUUGCUGGGCUGACACUGACGCUGAUGCGCGAAAGCCAGGGGAGCGAACGGG